GAUGAACGCUGGCGGCGUGCCUAAUACAUGCAAGUCGAGCGAACAGAUAAGGAGCUUGCUCCUUUGACGUUAGCGGCGGACGGGUGAGUAACACGUGGGUAACCUAUCUAUAAGACUGGAAUAACUCCGGGAAACCGGGGCUAAUGCCGGAUAACAUGUUGAACCGCAUGGUUCUACAGUGAAAGGCGGCUUUGCUGUCACUUAUAGAUGGGCCCGCGCCGUAUUAGCUAGUUGGUGAGGUAACGGCUCACCAAGGCAACGAUACGUAGCCGACCUGAGAGGGUGAUCGGCCACACUGGAACUGAGACACGGUCCAGACUCCUACGGGAGGCAGCAGUAGGGAAUCUUCCGCAAGGGGCGAAAGCCUGACGGAGCAACGCCGCGGGAGUGAUGAAGGUCUUCGGAUCGUAAAACUCUGUUAUUAGGGAAGAACAAAUGCGUAAGUAACUGUGCGCGUCUUGACGGUACCGAAGCAGAAAGCCACGGCUAACUACGG
rnacentral:rRNA from 1 species